rnacentral:tRNA from 1 species
GCCAUCAUGGUGUAGUGGUCAGCACGCUCAAUGUGUAACUGAGAGGUUCAUGGUUCAAUUCCCAGUGAAGACA